AUGGCCGUCUUCCAGGAAUCUGCUGCACGACACGAGGAAGAUGCUAAUGCAGGGAGAGCUGCGUGGCCCCCGACACCACUCUGCCGCCAGAGGGAUGUGCCUGCUGAGCCUUUUCCUUCCACACCGCCUCUGGCUGCCGGGCCAGCGGCUUCCACUGAGACUCCCUGGAGAGCCGGCUCCCGUGUCCAUCCACCGAGCACUCAGACGGAUGCUGAUGACCAGGCCGAGGGGGAGCCCAGAAGGACCCCAGGCCCUGGGUGGGAGGAGCCAGUGUGUGUGGCCUGUGCCGUGCUCAGCAUUUUCCCACUGUCUGAGCCAAGCAGGACCCUGUCCCCGAGCAAGAGAUGUCCCCUUCCAUCCCUGACCCCCUGCCUGGGACAAGCCUUGUUGGGGGGCCCCAGCUUCAGGGCUGUGGUGGGAAUAACACCCGCAAAUGCCAGCCUCUCCUUUCUUCCCAUCCACCAGUUCACUACAAGGCCAUAUCUGGUCUUUAUGCAACAGGAAGCCCAUUUCUGGUGGGAUGUGCCUUCCAGUGCCACAGGGCCACUGACCCCACGCAUCUCUGUUCUGUCCAUCAGUGCUGGGAUGGACAGCAAGGGCGAGCCCAGUGUCUGGCAGAUAGGUGGGUGGGAACGGGGAGGGGAGAAUGCCAUCCUAAGCCUGUGUUUGGGGAGCCCCCACACAGCCUGGGUACUGCCUGGGAAACCUGUCCUAAGUAAAACAUGGGCCUCGCCUCGCCCACCGGCCUGCGAAGCCAGCGUCUCCGUGAAGGUGGAUGGAAACACCUUUGUCCUCAUUUUGAGCUGCAGGCUGGCCACCGUGCCCGGCUGCCCUCAAGUGACUCUCUAACCCAAGACCCAGGCCCUAGCAGGAGGAGGGUGGGUGCAGGGCUGGUGGGACAAAAAGAGGCCUCAGCAGGCCUGGCAGACCCUUCCAGUGCGUCCCAAAGCGUGUCAAGCAGCUAGGAGGACCUGUGUCAAGCUCAAGCCAUCGUAGGUCCCCAUGAGGUAUCUGAAGCCCCUUCUUGGUGACGGGAGGCGGAGGUGCUGACAUUCUGGGGAAUGGACCGGAGUCCUCGACUGGCUUCGCGCAGGCCCCUGAAGGCGGUGAGGUGUGUGGUGACCUGGAUGCCUGUAACUUCAUGGCUGCAUCAUUCCUGAUUCAGAACUUUAGCUGGAGCUUCAUCUGGUGAUUGCAGAAUUGGACCAACAGGAGGACUGCGGCGUGGCCCGGCCCCUCCCUGGAAUGGAGCUCAGCUCUUCGGAGGUGUCAGCACCUGUCGCCUCCGUGGUCCCCCUGCCGAGGGAGUGCGGCCCCCACGAGGUUCGGGGUGACUUUGUUUGCCGGAGUGGCCGGCCCUGCGUGUGUCUUGCGGAUGUUUGUGAGCCUUAGUUCCCACAGCACCGUGUAGGCUGCGUCUGUUUCGUGCUGGUCCUGUUGAGGCGUGAUGGU